CUUAGCGGCGGACGGGUGAGUAACGCGUGGACAACCUGCCCUAUGCAGGGGGAUAACAUCCGGAAACGGGUGCUAAUACCGCAUAAGCGCACAGUACCGCAUGGUACGGUGUGAAAAGCUGAGGCGGCAUAGGAUGGGUCCGCGUUGGAUUAGGCAGUUGGCGGGGUAACGGCCCACCAAACCGACGAUCCAUAGCCGGCCUGAGAGGGUGGACGGCCACAUUGGGACUGAGACACGGCCCAAACUCCUACGGGAGGCAGCAG
rnacentral:rRNA from 1 species